rnacentral:rRNA from 1 species
GACGAACGCUGGCGGCGUGCUUAACACAUGCAAGUCGAACGGAAAGACCCUGCUUUUGUGGGGUGCUCGAGUGGCGAACGGGUGAGUAACACGUGAGUAACCUGCCCCUGACUUUGGGAUAACUUCAGGAAACUGGGGCUAAUACCGGAUAGGAGCUCCUGCUGCAUGGUGGGGGUUGGAAAGUUUCGGCGGUUGGGGAUGGACUCGCGGCUUAUCAGCUUGUUGGUGGGGUAGUGGCUUACCAAGGCUUUGACGGGUAGCCGGCCUGAGAGGGUGACCGGCCACAUUGGGACUGAGAUACGGCCCAGACUCCUACGGGAGGCAGCAGUGGGGAAUAUUGCACAAUGGGCGGAAGCCUGAUGCAGCAACGCCGCGUGCGGGAUGACGGCCUUCGGGUUGUAAACCGCUUUCGCCUGUGACGAAGCGUGAGUGACGGUAAUGGGUAAAGAAGCACCGGCUAACUACGUG